rnacentral:rRNA from 1 species
GUCUACCGCCAUAGCACCCUGAGUGUGCCCCAUCUUUUAUGAUCUCAGAAGCUAAGCAGGGUCAGCCCUGGUUAGUACUUGGAUGGGAGAAAGCAUUUUGAUGUCUAGGGAAGUUACUUAACCUCUGUAGGCU